rnacentral:tRNA from 1 species
UAGCUCAGUGGUAGAGUGCUUGCCCGGCAUGCACAAGGCCCUGGGUUCAAUUCCCAG